GUGCGGUCAAAAAAAGCCAAGUUUUUGAAUCUUGGCUUUGCCAACAGUGCCAAAGCGGUAAAUAAAUCACUUUGGUGAUUGAUGAAUAAUUUCAAUGAU
rnacentral:ncRNA from 1 species